AGUGAACGCUGGCGGUAGGCCUAACACAUGCAAGUCGAACGGCAGCACAGUAAGAGCUUGCUCUUACGGGUGGCGAGUGGCGGACGGGUGAGGAAUACAUCGGAAUCUACUUUUUCGUGGGGGAUAACGUAGGGAAACUUACGCUAAUACCGCAUACGACCUACGGGUGAAAGCAGGGGAUCUUCGGACCUUGCGCGAUUGAAUGAGCCGAUGUCGGAUUAGCUAGUUGGCGGGGUAAAGGCCUACCAAGGCGGCGAUCCGUAGCUGGUCUGAGAGAAUGAUCGGCCACACUGGAACUGAGACAGGGUCCAGACGCCUACGGGAGGCAGCAGUGGGGAAUAUUGGGCAAUGGGCGCAAGCCUGAUCCAGCCAUACCGCGUGGGUGAAGAAGGCCUUCGGGUUGUAAAGCCCUUUUGUUGGGAAAGAAAAGCAGCAGGUUAAGACCCCGCUGUUCUGACGGUACCCAAAGAAUAAGCACCGGCUAACUUCGUG
rnacentral:rRNA from 1 species